rnacentral:rRNA from 1 species
CAUCAUGGCAGUGGAAACUGAAAGGCUUGAGUAUGGUAGGGGCAGAGGGAAUUCCCGGUGUAGCGGUGAAAUGCGUAGAUAUCGGGAAGAACACCAGUGGCGAAGGCGCUCUGCUGGGCCAUUACUGACGCUCAUGGACGAAAGCCAGGGGAGCGAAAGGGAUUAGAUACCCCUGUAGUCCUGGCCGUAAACGAUGAACACUAGGUGUCGGGGGAAUCGACCCCUUCGGUGUCGUAGCUAACGCGUUAAGUGUUCCGCCUGGGGAGUACGCACGCAAGUGUGAAACUCAAAGGAAUUGACGGGGGCCCGCACAAGCGGUGGAGUAUGUGGUUUAAUUCGAUGCAACGCGAAGAACCUUACCAGGGUUUGACAUCCUGCGAACCUCUUAGAAAUUUGAGGGUGCCUUCGGGAAUGCAGUGACAGGUGGUGCAUGGCUGUCGUCAGCUCGUGUCGUGAGAUGUUGGGUUAAGUCCCGCAACGAGCGCAACCCACGUUUUUAGUUGCCAGCAUUUAGUUGGGCACUCUAGAAAGACCGCCGGUGAUAAACCGGAGGAAGGUGUGGAUGACGUCAAGUCAUCAUGCCCCUUACACCCUGGGCUACACACGUACUACAAUGCUACGGACAAAGGGCAGCAAACUCGCGAGAGCUAGCAAAUCCCAUAAACCGUGGCUCAGUUCAGAUCGUAGGCUGCAACUCGCCUACGUGAAGUAGGAAUCGCUAGUAAUCGCAGGUCAGCAUACUGCGGUGAAUACGUUCCCGGGCCUUGUACACACCGCCCGUCACACCAUGGAAGUUGGCCAUGCCCGAAGUCGUUACUCCAACCCUUGUGGAGGAGGACGCCGAAGGUGGGGCUAAUGACUGGGGUGAAGUCGUAACAAGGUAGCCGUA